rnacentral:lncRNA from 1 species
GGGGGAGGACAGGGGUAAGGGAGACAGGGAGAAAGGGGUAGGAGAAAGGAGAAAGGGGGUGGGGAAAAGGAGAAAGGGGGUAGGAGAAAGGAGAGGAAGGCUGGGAAAAAGGAGAAAAAGUUGGAGAAAGGAGAAAAAAUAAAAUAUCUCUCCUUUUAAAUUUUUUUCUAAUAUUUCAAGAAAAAAUAUCUCAAAAGGAGAUGUUUUAUUCUAAUGGGAGAAAGGAUAACAGGGAUAGGAGAAAGGAGAAGACGGGUGGGAGAAGGGAGAAGGGUACCCUCUGUCCUCCCCCUCAUAUAUAGAAU